CACACACACAACACAUGUGUGUGUGGGCUUGCCACGAUACCAACAUUUUACCAAUGAUACAAUGGCAGGCCAAGUAUCGUGAUACCACGGUGGAAGAAAAUCACUGACCCAUCAUGCUGUUCGUCCUGUCCCCCGGACGCUUGUUCCUGUUGUCUAAACCUUCUCCAAAAACCUGUCACUCAAAUUCACACUCCUACUCAAUACAACACAUUCAAUUUAACUUCACACGGUUCAGUGUAUAAUACUGUAUAGAUUGACUGAUUUGCUCAUAUUUACCUGUGAUUUGGAGGAAUAGGAGGAAGGAGUAUACAUCAGUGGUGAAGGGAGGAUGGAUCAUAAUAAUGGCUGGAACGUCACAAAUAGAAUUGUAUCAAACACAUAUAAGCCAUGUGUUUGAUACCAUUCCACUCCAGCCAUUACCACGAGCCCGUCCUCCCCAGUGAAGGUGCCACCAACCUCCUGUGAUAUAUAUGCAUAAUGAUCUGCAUGUCUCUCAGAAUGAUCUUCGUGAAGUUAACGGGUCACUCAACAAAGACUGCUCUCUGUGUCACGGAGGCGCUCCACUCCGCCAAAGCUGACUCUCUCGCCUCUGUUCUCAUCCUCCUAGAUCUGCUGCGUUCAACACCGUGAACCAUCCGAUCCUCCUCUCCACCCUCAGGGCUGGGCGUCUCAGGCUCUGCACACUCUUGGAUUGCAUCCUACCUGGCAGGCCGCUCCACCCAGGUGACGUGGAGAGGAUCUGUGUCUGCACCACGUACUCUCAUUACUGGUGUCCCCCAGGGCUCGGUUCUAGGUCCUCUCCUCUUUUCUCUAUACACCAAGUCACUAGGCUCUAGAGGUCGACCGAUUAUGAUUUUUCAACGCCGAUACCGAUUAUUGGAGGACCCCAAAAAAGCCGCUACCGAUUAAAUCGGAUGAUUUUUUAAUUUAUUUAUUUGUAAUGACAAUUACAACAAUACUGAAUGAACACUUAUUUUAACUUAAUAUAAUACAUCAAUAAAAAUCUAUUUAGCCUCAAAUAAAUAAUGAAACAUGUUCAAUUUGGUUUAAAUAAUGCAAAAUCAAAGUGUUGGAGAAGUAAAAGUGCAAUAUGUGCCAUGUAAAAAUGUUUGAGUUCCUUGCUCAGAACAUGAGAACAUAUGAAAGUUGGUGGUUCCUUUUAACAUGAGACUUCAAUAUUCCAAGGUAAGAGGUUUUAGGUUGUAGUUAAUAUAGUAUUUAUAGGACUAUUUCUCUCUAUACCAUUUGUAUUUCAUAUACCUUUGACUAUUGGAUGUUCUUAUAGCCACUAUAGUAUUGCCAGUGUAACAGUAUAGCUUCCGUCCCUCUCCUCACCCCUACCUGGGCUCGAACCAGGAACAACAGCCACACUCGAAGCAGCGUUACCCAUCGCUCCACAAAAGCCGCGGCCCUUGCAGAGCAAGGGGAACAACUACUCCAAGUCUCAGAGCGUGUGAUGUUUGAAACGCUAUUAGCGUGCACCCCGCUAACUAGCUAGCCAUUUGACAUCGGUUACACCAGCCAUUAGGCUGAUAGGCUUGAAGUCAUAAACAGCGCUGUGCUUGCGAAGAGCUGCUGGCAAAACUCACAAAAUGAAUGAAUGCUUACGAGCCUGCUGCUGCCUACCAUCGCUCAGUCAGACUGCUCUAUCAAAUCAUAGAGUUAAUUAUAAGAUAACACACAGAAAUACAAGCCUUAGGUCAUGAAUAUGGUUGAAUCCGGAAACUAUAAUUUAGAAAACAAAACAUUUAUUAUUUCAGUGAAAUACGGAACUGUUCAGUAUUUUAUCUAACGGGUGGCAUCCAUUAGUCUAAAUAUUCCUGUUACAUUGCACAACCUUCAAUGUUAUGUCAUAAUUACAUACAAUUCUGGUAAAUUAUUACGCAAUGAGCCAGGCUGCCCAAACUGUUGCAUAUACCCUGACUCUGCGUGCAAUGAACGCAAGAGAAGUGACAAUUUCACCUGGUUAAUAUAGCCUGCUAACCUGGAUUUCUUUUAGCUAAAUAUGCAGGUUUAAAAAUAUAUACUUCUGUGUGUUGAUUUUAAGAAAGGCAUUGGUGUUUAUGGUUAGGUACAGUCGUCCAACGAUUGUGCUUUUUUUGCAAAUGCGCUUUUGUUAAAUCAUCUCCCAGCGUUGCAUCGAUUAUAUGCAACACAGGACACGCUAGAUAAACUAGUAAUAUCAUCAACCAUGUGUAGUUAGCUUGUGAUUAUGAUUGAUUGAUUGUUUUUUAUAAGAUAAGUUUAAUGCUAGCUAGCAACUUACCUUGGCUUAUUGCAUUCACGUAACUGACAGGUUCCUCGUGGAGUGCAAUGUAAAUCAGGUGGUUAGAGCGUUGGACUAGUUAACUGUAAGGUUGCAAGAUUGGAUCCCCCGAGCUGAUAAGGUGAAAAUCUGUCUUUCUGCCCCUGAACAAGGCAGUUAACCCACCGUUCCUAGGGCCUCAUUUAAAAUAAGAAUGUGUUCUUAACUGACUUGCCUAGUUAAAUAAAGGUAUUAAAACAUGUUUUUUUUAAAGGCAAAAUCGGCGCCCAAAAAUACUGAUUUCCGAUUGUUGUGAAAACUUGAAAUCGGCCCUAAUUAAAAUCGGAUAUUCCGAUUAAUCGGUCGACCUCUACUAGGCUCCAUCAUAUCCUUACAUGGUCUCUAUCAUUGCUAUGCGGAUGACACUUAACUACUUCCCCCGCCUUCUGACACCCAGGUGGCAACAUGCAUCUCUGCGUGCCAGGCAGACAUCUCAGCUUGACUGUUGGCCCACCACCUCAAGACAGAACUGCUCUUCCUCCCGGGGAAGGUUUGCCCGCUCAAAGACCUCUCCAUCAUGGUUGACAACUCCAGUGUCCCCCUCCCAGAGUGCAAUGAAACUUGGCGUGACCCUGGACAACACCCUGUCGUUCUGUGCAAACAUCAAAGCAGUGACUCGCUCCUGCAGGUUUAUGCUCUACAACAUCUGUAGAGUACGACCCUAGCUCACACAGGAAGCGGUGCAGGUCCUAAUCCAGGCACUUGUCAUCUCCCGUCUAGACUACUGCAACUCUGUGUAGGCUGGGCUCCCCGCUUGUGCCAUCAAAUCCCUGCAACUUAUCCAGAACGCAAGUUCUCUCAUGUCAGCCUGCUCCUCCACACACCCCACUGGCUUCCAGUUGAAGCUCGCAUCCACAACAAGACCAUGGUGCUUACCUACGGAACAGCAAGGGAACCCCCCCCACCCCAUGCUCAAACCCUACACCCCAACCCGAGUACUCCGUUCUGUCACCUCUGGUCCCUUGGCCCUCCCACCCCUACGGGAGGGCAGCUCAUGCUCAGCCCAGUCCAAGUUCUUCUCUCUCCUGGCACCCCAAUGGUGGAACCAGCUUCCCCCUGAAUCUCGGACAGCAGAGUCCCUGCCCAUCUUCCAAAAACAUCUGAAAGACUACCUCUUCAAACAUGAUAACAAAUGACAAAAAUACACUUGACCACACCCCCCCCCCCAGCUCUUACUCCACUGACAGCUGCGUUAUUGAGGAACAUUUUACUUUCUAUGACUGUGAUAUGUGGUUGUCCCUCCUAGCUAUCUUAAGAUGAAGGCACUAACUGUAGGGCACUCUGGAUAAGAGCUGCUGCUAAAUGACCAACAUUUAAAAAUGUAAAUACAAUUGUGUCAGUAAGGGAAAAUUAAACCUUCUUUACUCUUUAGUUAAGACACACACUCUCCCUCCCUUCCUCACACACUCUGUCUCCCUCUCACUCAUAAACACCCCCCCCCUUUCUCCCUCUCUCUCAUAAACACACACCCCUCUCUGUCUCUCCCUCCCACAAACACACUGCUCCCAACUUUUUAAACAUUUGGCACCAAACAGAAUUGAAGGAGCACCAGAAAUAAAUAGAUUUGAUAUAGUUCAAGCUUCCAUUAGGACAAUAUGAAUCCUACCUUUUGAAGCACAACUCAUGAGUAGCAAACCCCUUUCCUUUCUUCCUGUGUCAGAUGUGCCUAAACCUACUGUCAAGUUACCAGUUGUUUGUUAUCAAACCAAUAAUUAGUCAACCCGGAUUAGUUUAAAAUGGCCUGUAACAUUUGUGAAAUAACAUAAAAUGUGUGUGAACUCUGAUACAAAGAAAGGCAUGUCCUGUAAUAUAGGUCAUAUGUUUUUAACCGUUUAGAAACAAGCCGUUUUCUUUGCUGUACAGCAUGCCUGUCGCCAAGCAGUGCUCCAUUUCCCCUCUCUGACACGCAGAGGCUGAAUCACAGUGAGCUUUCAAAGUCUAUUCAGACUGGUCUGUGCUCUUGGUUAGAACAGGAAAUUAAAUGAUACAAUGUGUCAACACUGCUCGCUUUGCACGCUGCUCCAAAAUAACAAAUGUACAACAGAAGACUCAGAUUCUGGGUCUGCAUCUCCGCUCGCCAACAAGGCUAAAUUAUAUUUUUCAAAACUGACAGCUGAAUAGAUGAGCUUGAAGAGCGGACGGAGAGAAGCAGGCGAGUGAGGGCAGGUAGGGGAUGUGAAGAGCGGACGGAGAGAAGCAGGCGAGUGAGGGCAGGUAGGGGAUGUGAAGAGCGGACGGAGAGAAGCAGGCGAGUGAGGGCAGGUAGGGGAUGUGAAGAGCGGACGGAGAGAAGCAGGCGAGUGAGGGCAGGUAGGGGAUGUGAAGAGCGGACGGAGAGAAGCAGGCGAGUGAGGGCAGGUAGGGGAUGUGAAGAGCGGACGGAGAGAAGCAGGCGAGUGAGGGCAGGUAGGGGAUGUGAAGAGCGGACGGAGAGAAGCAGGCGAGUGAGGGCAGGUAGGGGAUGUGAAGAGCGGACGGAGAGAAGCAGGCGAGUGAGGGCAGGUAGGGGAUGUGAAGAGCGGACGGAGAGAAGCAGGCGAGUGAGGGCAGGUAGGGGAUGUGAAGAGCGGACGGAGAGAAGCAGGCGAGUGAGGGCAGGUAGGGGAUGUGAAGAGCGGACGGAGAGAAGCAGGCGAGUGAGGGCAGGUAGGGGAUGUGAAGAGCGGACGGAGAGAAGCAGGCGAGUGAGGGCAGGUAGGGGAUGUGAGAUGCCGGACGGAGAGAAGCAGGCGAGUGAGGGCAGGUAGGGGAUGUGAGAUGCCGGACGGAGAGAAGCAGGCGAGUGAGGGCAGGUAGGGGAUGUGAAGAGCGGACGGAGAGAAGCAGGCGAGUGAGGGCAGGUAGGGGAUGUGAAGAGCGGACGGAGAGAAGCAGGCGAGUGAGGGCAGGUAGGGGAUGUGAAGAGCGGACGGAGAGAAGCAGGUGAGUGAGGGCUGGUAGGGGAUGUGAAGAGCGGACGGAGAGAAGCAGGUGAGUGAGGGCAGGUAGGGGAUGUGAAGAGCGGACGGAGAGAAGCAGGUGAGUGAGGGCUGGUAGGGGAUGUGAAGAGCGGACGGAGAGAAGCAGGUGAGUGAGGGCAGGUAGGGGAUGUGAAGAGCGGACGGAGAGAAGCAGGUGAGUGAGGGCUGGUAGGGGAUGGGGCUGGUUCAUUACAGCUGCCACACGUGAUAUACACAUGAAAGUGAAGUGGAUAUCCUUGGACCUGUGCAUACCAGAGACUAGUCAAUGUUGCUUCAAUUCAACUGACUUUAUAAACAUAUUAUAACAGGUGCCAGCAAGUUCUUUAAAUCGGUAGGGCUGAAAAACUUGGUAGUAUCAUAUGAAACAUUACUACGGUACUCUAAAAUGUUGGUAUCAUAAGCAUCAGUACCGUGAUACUUCCGUAGUACCGGUGUACCGUGUAACACUAUUUGUGUGCGUCCUACCUUCUCGAAGACGUUAGCGGCGGUCAUGAGGCAGAAGCGUAGAGACUGGACGACAGUGUCUGUGUGU